GGAAAUGUAAUUCAGUGGUAGACUGCGUGCUUAGCAUGCAUGAGGCCCUGGGUUCAAUCUCCAGCACCA
rnacentral:tRNA from 1 species